ensembl:snRNA U6 U6 spliceosomal RNA
ACUCUCACUUCGGCAGUACAUAUACUAAAAUAGGAAUGAUACUGAGAAGAUUAGCAUGACCCCUGCGCAAGGAAGAAAUGCAAAUUCGUGAAAUGUCCCAUACUUUU